CAGUCGCCACGGUAAUACGUAGGGUGCGAGCGUUGUCCGGAAUUAUUGGGCGUAAAGAGCUUGUAGGCGGUCUGUCGCGUCUGCUGUGAAAACCCGAGGCUCAACCUCGGGCCUGCAGUGGGUACGGGCAGACUAGAGUGCGGUAGGGGAGAACGGAACUCCUGGUGUAGCGGUGGAAUGCGCAGAUAUCAGGAAGAACACCGAUGGCGAAGGCAGUUCUCUGGGCCGUAACUGACGCUGAGAAGCGAAAGCGUGGGGAGCGAACAGGAUUAGAUACCCGCGUAGUCCCUGUCUCUUAUAC
rnacentral:rRNA from 1 species